rnacentral:tRNA from 1 species
GCGGGGGUGCCCGAGCAUGGUCAAAGGGGGCGGACUUAAGAUCCGUUGGCGAAGGCCUGCGUGGGUUCAAGUCCCACCCCCCGCACCA